GUGGCCUCUGGCGGACGGGAGGGCGGAGCGACUGCGCAAAUCCGGAAAAAAAAAAAAUGUCACCUGUGGUCUCAGGCUUUGAAAAGUGCUAGUGAUCAGAAGGACUAAUGUUGGUCGAUGCUGUGUUGGGUCAACCUCAUCACAGGCAUUUCCAAUUUGGAGACAUAAAGAACUGAGAACUUGGGGAUCCACUGAGGUCUGAGGCAUGGUGGUACCAGAAGAAAUA